UUUGGGGUACACAGUGGUUUUUGGGGUGCAGUGCCUGGUGUACACGGUGUUUGGUUUUGGGGUACACUCUGUUUUGGGGUGCAGGGCCUGGUGUACACGGUGACCGACGUGCCCGAGCUGCACCAGUGGAUGCUGCAGCAUUUUGGGGAGCACCCCCUGUUCGAGCCCCUGCCCCCCGCACAGCUGGCCGCGGACCCGCUGCUGCCGCUGCUGCCGGCGGUGACCGAGGAGGGGCAGCGGGCGCGGCGGGCGGGGCGCCCCCCCUGCACCGCCGUGUUCCGCCGCCGCCCCGACCCCCCCCCGGCGCCGUGACCCCCCCGUGCCACCGCCCCUUUUGUAAUAAAGUCACAAAAUGUC